rnacentral:tRNA from 1 species
AGAUUAUGAGCUUGUAGAGCAUGUAUUUUGAAAAUACAAAAAAGAGGUAAAAAUCCUCUAUAAUCUC